rnacentral:misc_RNA from 1 species
GAAAUGCGAUAAGUAAUGUGAAUUGCAGAAUUCCGUGAAUCAUCGAAUCUUUGAACGCACAUUGCGCCCCCUGGCAUUCCGGGGGGCAUGCCUGUCCGGGCGUCAUUUCUGCCCUCAAGCACGGCUUGUGUGUUGGGUGUGGUCCCCCCGGGGACCUGCCCGAAAGGCAGCGGCGACGUCCGUCUGGUCCUCGAGCGUAUGGGGCUCUGUCACUCGCUCGGGAAGGACCUGCGGGGGUUGGUCACCACCAUAUUUCACCACGGUUGACCUCGGAUCAGGUAGGAGUUACCCGCUGAACUUAAGC